rnacentral:rRNA from 1 species
GAUGAACGCUGACAGAAUGCUUAACACAUGCAAGUCUUUGGCGAAGCUGUGCUUGCACAGCCUAGCCAAGGCGGACGGGUGAGUAACGCGUAAGGAACUUGCCCUGCAGUCAGGGAUAACAGACGGAAACGACUGAUAAGACCUGGUAAAGUCAGGCGGACUUAUGUCCAGCCUGAUGAAAAGAGAUGCUGCAGGAGAGCCUUGCGUCCUAUUAGCUUGUUGGUGGGGUAACGGCCCACCAAGGCGAUGAUAGGUAGCCGGCCUGAGAGGGUGGACGGCCACAAGGGGACUGAGAUACGGCCCUUACACCUACGGGAGGCAGCAGUGGGGAAUAUUGGACAAUGGGGGCAACCCUGAUCGAGAAAUUCUGUGUGCACGAUGAAGGUUUUCGGAUUGUAAAGUGCUUUCAGCAGGGAAGAAAAAAAUGACGGUACCUGCAGAAGAAGCGACGGCUAAAUACGUG